CCUACGGGGGGCUGCAGUGGGGAAUAUUGGACAAUGGGGGGAACCCUGAUCCAGCCAUGCCGCGUGUGUGAAGAAGGCCCUCGGGUUGUAAAGCACUUUCAGUGAGGAAGAACGCCUGGUGGUUAAUACCCAUCAGGAAAGACAUCACUCACAGAAGAAGCACCGGCUAACUCCGUGCCAGCAGCCGCGGUAAUACGGAGGGUGCGAGCGUUAAUCGGAAUUACUGGGCGUAAAGCGCGCGUAGGUGGCUUGAUAAGCCGGUUGUGAAAGCCCCGGGCUCAACCUGGGAACGGCAUCCGGAACUGUCAAGCUAGAGUGCAGGAGAGGAAGGUAGAAUUCCCGGUGUAGCGGUGAAAUGCGUAGAGAUCGGGAGGAAUACCAGUGGCGAAGGCGGCCUUCUGGACUGACACUGACACUGAGGUGCGAAAGCAUGGGUAGCAAACAGGAUUAGAUACCCUAGUAGUC
rnacentral:rRNA from 1 species